GACGAACGCUGGCGGCGUGCUUAACACAUGCAAGUCGAACGGAAAGGCCCUGCUUUUGUGGGGUGCUCGAGUGGCGAACGGGUGAGUAACACGUGAGUAACCUGCCCUUGACUUUGGGAUAACUUCAGGAAACUGGGGCUAAUACCGUAUAGCAUCUCCUGCUGCAUGGUGGGGGUUGGAAAGUUUCGGCGGGUGGGGAUGGACUCGCGGCUUAUCAGCUUGUUGGUGGGGUAGUGGCUUACCAAGGCUUUGACGGGUAGCCGGCCUGGGAGGGUGACCGGGCACAUUGGUCCUGAGGUACGGAGCAGAGGCGUACGGGAGGCAGCGGGGGGGAAUAUGGCCCAAUGGGCGGAAGCCUGAUGCAGCAACGCCGCGGGCGGGAUGACGGCCUUCGGGGUGUGAACCGCUUUCGCCUGUGACGAAGCGUGAGUGACGGUAAUGGGUAAAGAAGCACCGGCUAACUACGUG
rnacentral:rRNA from 1 species